AUUGAACGCUGGCGGCAUGCCUUACACAUGCAAGUCGAACGGCAGCAUGGAGAGCUUGCUCUCUGAUGGCGAGUGGCGAACGGGUGAGUAAUGCAUCGGAACGUACCGUGUAAUGGGGGAUAACGUAGCGAAAGUUACGCUAAUACCGCAUACGACCUGAGGGUGAAAGCAGGGGAUCGCAAGACCUUGCGUUAUACGAGCGGCCGAUGUCAGAUUAGCUAGUUGGGGAGGUAAAGGCUCACCAAGGCGACGAUCUGUAGCGGGUCUGAGAGGAUGAUCCGCCACACUGGGACUGAGACACGGCCCAGACUCCUACGGGAGGCAGCAGUGGGGAAUUUUGGACAAUGGGGGCAACCCUGAUCCAGCCAUGCCGCGUGAGUGAAGAAGGCCUUCGGGUUGUAAAGCUCUUUCGGCCGGGAAGAAAUCGCACAGGCUAAUACUCUGUGUGGAUGACAGUACCGGCAUAAGAAGCACCGGCUAACUACGUGCCAGCAGCCGCGGUAA
rnacentral:rRNA from 1 species